CAGCCUAACACAUGCAAGUCGAACGGUAACAGAUCUAGCUUGCUAGAUGCUGACGAGUGGCGCACGGGUGCGUAACGCGUAUACAAUCUACCUUUAACUGAGGGAUAGCCCAGAGAAAUUUGGAUUAAUACCUCAUAGUAUUAUAUUAAGGCAUCUUUUUAUAAUUAAAACUCCGGUGGUUAAAGAUGAGUAUGCGUCCUAUUAGCUAGUUGGUAAGGUAAAAGCUUACCAAGGCUACGAUAGGUAGGGGGCCUGAAAGGGUGAUCCCCCACACUGGUACUGAGACACGGACCAGACUCCUACGGGAGGCAGCAGUGAGGAAUAUUGCACAAUGGAGGAAACUCUGAUGCAGCCAUGCCGCGUGCAGGAUGAAUGCCCCAUGGGUUGUAAACUGCUUUUAUACAAGAAGAAACAUCGGUACGUGUACCGACUUGACGGUAUUGUAGAAUAAGCACCGGCU
rnacentral:rRNA from 1 species